CAUGUAGACUACAUCGUAUCCAUAAAUUCUCACUCAUCUCUUACCUCCUUAAACUAAAGCCUCCCUGCCUUACUCCAACUAUAAAUUCUGAACUCGCACACGAAAAUGGAUGAAUUCAAAGGUCAGCCUCGCCUCCCAGAAAUUUGCCGCCCCUAAAGGCUACGAUCGAUAUCAGGCUGAAACCGGACCUUUCCGCCUGCACAUUCGCAUGGCAAAGUCUCUAUGGACCUUGACAUCGUCGUUGCCACCAAAUUCAUUGUCCUAAACUCCGCUGACCUCUCUGUCAAGUCCGGCUCCAACUACUUCACCUCCUCUAAGGUGUUUAAGCCCGUGAAAGUUGAUUUGGUGGUAGCAGAUGAGAUACUGGUGUUGGAGUUCGCUGAGACACUUCACAUCGGUGUGUGAGUUCUUGCGAUUGAGUUCGCCGGAGUUUUGAAUGACAAACUCAAGCGACUUACAGAAGUACCUAUGAUCAUAACGGUUAGAAGAAGAGCAUAGCAGUCACUCAGUUUGAGCCAGCUGAUGCUAGGAGAUGCUUUCCAUGUUGGGACGAGCCUGCUUGCAAGGCUAAAUUCAGGAUCACUCUAGAUGUGCCAUCUGAAUUGGUAGUUCUUUCCCAUGUGCCAGUUCUUGAGGAGAAAGUGGAAGGAACUCUGAAGACAGUUUCCUACCAGGAAACACCUCUCAUGUCUAUAUAUUUGGUGGCAAUUGUCGUUGGUUUGUUUGGUUAUGUUGAAGAUCACACAUCCGAUGGUACAAUUGUACUUUAUUCAGUUAUUUGUUGGUGAUGGAACGACGCUUGCUCUUCAUGUUGUGUAAUCUUGCCAAAACUAUAUAGGGAUCAAUGUUCGAAGUUUGCAUUGCAUGUUGCUGUGUGUUGUGCGGUG